GACGAACGCUGGCGGCGUGCUUAACACAUGCAAGUCGAACGGAAAGGCCCUGCUUUUGUGGGGUGCUCGAGUGGCGAACGGGUGAGUAACACGUGAGUAACCUGCCCUUGACUUUGGGAUAACUUCAGGAAACUGGGGCUAAUACCGGAUAGGAGCUCCUGCUGCAUGGUGGGGGUUGGAAAGUUUCGGCGGUUGGGGAUGGACUCGCGGCUUAUCAGCUUGUUGGUGGGGUAGUGGCUUACCAAGGCUUUGACGGGUAGCCGGCCUGAGAGGGUGACCGGCCACAUUGGGACUGCGAUACGGCCCAGAAUCCUACGGGAGGCAGCAGUGGGGAAUAUUGCACAAUGGGCGGAAGCCUGAUGCAGCAACGCCGCGUGCGGGAUGACGGCCUUCGGGUUGUAAACAGCCUUCGCAUGUGACGAAGCGUGAGUGACGGUAAUGGGUAAAGAAGCACCGGCUAACUACGUG
rnacentral:rRNA from 1 species